AUACGUAGGGGGCGAGCGUUGUCCGGAAUGAUUGGGUGUAAAGGGAGCGUAGACGGCAAAGCAAGUCUGAAGUGAAAGCCCCGGGCUCAACCCGGGAAUUGCUUUGGAAACUGUUUAGCUGGAGUGCAGGAGAGGUAAGCGGAAUUCCUAGUGUAGCGGUGAAAUGCGUAGAUAUUAGGAGGAACACCGGCGGCGAAGGCGGCUUACUGGACUGUAACUGACGUUGAGGCUCGAAAGCGUGGGGAGCAAACAGGAUUAGAUACCCUGGUAGUCCACGCCGUAAACGAUGAUUACUAGGUGUUGGUUGUCAUAGACAAUCGGUGCCGCAGCAAACGCAAUAAGUAAUCCACCUGGGGAGUACGUUCGCAAGAAUGAAACUCAAAGGAAUUGACGGGG
rnacentral:rRNA from 1 species